CCUACGGGAGGCAGCAGUGGGGGAUCUUGCACAAUGGGGGGAACCCUGAUGCAGCGACGCCGCGUGGGUGAAGAAGCGCCUCGGCGCGUAAAGCCCUGUCAGCAGGGAAGAAAAUGACGGUACCUGAAGAAGAAGCCCCGGAUAACUACGGGCCAGCAGCCGCGGUAAUACGUAGGGGGCAAGCGUUAUCCGGAUUUACUGGGUGUAAAGGGGGCGCAGACGGCGAUGCAAGCCAGGAGUGAAAGCCCGGGGCCCAACCCCGGGACUGCGCUUGGAACUGCGUGGCUGGAGUGCAGGAGGGGCAGGCGGAAGUCCUGGUGUAGCGGUGAAAUGCAUAGAUAGCACGCAGAACCCCGAUUGCGAAGGCAGCAUACCGGUGCACAACUGACGCUCAGGCACGAAAGCGUGGGUAUCGAACAGGAUUAGAUACCCUGGUAGUC
rnacentral:rRNA from 1 species